AGAUCACGGGAACUGCUUAAAGGCGGCCGAACGUCUCGCUCGCCGUUCGGUCAGCGGCUCCGGCCUCCGGCCUCCGGGGGUUCUACUCGACCACACCAACGGCCGCUCGGGUGAAGGGAUCACUCAUUGUCCGCGCGCUGCCGCCGCACGUCGGAGCUGAUAAACUUGCCCCGCCGCCCGUGCAUCGUGCUCGUGCAGUGCAGCCAGCCGUUCUGGAGCCAACAGCCGAGCCCUCGGUGUAUCUCGCCCGCGCCGGCAGCAGUUCCCUCAGGCCACCGCGGGCCCCAACAAACCUCUCCGCUCGGCUGCGGCACCGGUAGGCUUAUCUGGCAGUACCCAUGCUGGCCGCCUUCGGGAAGUCAAGUCUUUGGCGGAUGCUGCAACUUGUACGCCUGAGCCAGGAACAGUGUUAUACUUCAAUAAUGAAAUAUCUCGGCCCUUCAAUUGCUCUUAUAUAAUACUAUAGUUUUGAUAUCAUUGGGCAUCCAUCAGAUGACGGCCGUUAGAACUGGCAACAGAAGUUUGUUGGGGUCAACCACAAGCUACGCAUAUUUGUCAACAUCAUCAUAUUUGUGAUUGUAGGAGUAAUAUUUGUUUUCUUGGACGUUCUGUUCAUGAAUGAGAAAUCAAGAAUGAUUGGGUAUAUUAGCCUAUUGUUAAUUCAAUGAGGUUGUGCCCAUCCUUUUCGGGACGGGGACGUGUUGUCGUGUUGAGACUCAUUUGAGCAUUCCUGUUCGUUUGAACUUAUCAGCUGUCAGCUAUCCAGCAGUAUUUUUCUUUUAUAAUAAAUUAGUCAACAGUACUUUUUAUCA